rnacentral:antisense_RNA from 1 species
CAGCACUUCUGCUGGCAACAGCCCUUCCCACAGCCAUAGCCACACAAGCUGCAGGUGCGGCGGCAACAGCAGAUCACGGGUGUGCUACAGCAGCCCCCACAGCAGCCACGGCAGCAGGGGCAGCAGCUGGAGCAGCAGCCCACCCGGUAGCACCUGCAGGUGGUGCAGCUGCCACAGCCACCACCACAGCCACCACCACAGCCGCCACCACAGCCACCACAACUUCCGCAACCACAGCAACCCAUGGUGUCAGUAGAGAGGAAUCAGAUUAAAAGCAAGCCAAGAGAUGCUAACAUGUAGGAGAGGAUCUUCAUUUUCUCAGAAACCACUUGAAUCCUUGAGACUUCAGGUUAAGCCAGAACCCAAGGUUGCUGCCAGCUGCUUUUCCAUCUCUCUGCCAUGGCUUCUCUCCAGGAAAUCACCCUGCUUUCAUGGAAACUCCCGAGAUGCAAAAGAGUAAAUAAGAGCAUCCAAAUAAAACACGUCAUUUUUGC